GUGCGAUUUCUGCCGUCGCGGCGCUCGUGCCGCUCAACCGCUGGUGCUGGCUAGAGCGCCGCGACGGCAGAAAUCGCGC
rnacentral:pre_miRNA from 1 species